rnacentral:rRNA from 1 species
UACGUAGGGUGCGAGCGUUAAUCGGAAUUACUGGGCGUAAAGCGUGCGCAGGCGGUUCGUUGUGUCGGCGGUGAAAGCCCCGGGCUCAACCUGGGAAUGGCCGUUGAAACUGGCGAACUGGAGUGUGGCAGAGGGGGGUGGAAUUCCACGUGUAGCAGUGAAAUGCGUAGAGAUGUGGAGGAACACCGAUGGCGAAGGCAGCCCCCUGGGCUAACACUGACGCUCAUGCACGAAAGCGUGGGGAGCAAACAGG